GACGAACGCUGGCGGCGUGCUUAACACAUGCAAGUCGAACGGAAAGGCCCUGCGUUUGUGGGGUGCUCGAGUGGCGCACGGGUGAGUAACACGUGAGUAACCUGCCCUUGACUUUGGGAUAACUUCAGGAAACUCGGGCUCAUACCGGAUAGGAUCUCCUGCUCCAUGGUGGGGGUUGGAAAGAUUCGGCGGUGGUGGAUGGACUCGCUGCUUAUCAGCUUGUUUGUGGGGUAGUGGCUUACCAAGGCUAUGACGGGUAGCCGGCCUUAGAGGGUGACCGGGCACCAGGCGCCUGAGAGAGGGAGCAGACGCCUACGGGCGGCAGUAGGCGGGAGUAUUGCACAGUGGGGGGACGUCUGAUGCAGCAAUGUUGGGUGCGUGAUGACGGGUUUCGGGUGGUAAACCGCUUUCGAAUGUGCUGAAGCGUGAGUGACGGUAAUGGGUCAAGAAGCAACGGCUAACUACGUG
rnacentral:rRNA from 1 species